GAUGAACGCUAGCGGCAGGCUUAACACAUGCAAGUCGAGGGGUAUAGGUUUUCGGACCUAGAGACCGGCGCACGGGUGCGUAACACGUAUGCAAUCUACCUUUCACAGAGGGAUAGCCCAGAGAAAUUUGGAUUAAUACCUCAUAGUAUAAUGACUCGGCAUCGAGACAUUAUUAAAGUCACAACGGUGAAAGAUGAGCAUGCGUCCCAUUAGCUAGUUGGUAAGGUAACGGCUUACCAAGGCGACGAUGGGUAGGGGUCCUGAGAGGGAGAUCCCCCACACUGGUACUGAGACACGGACCAGACUCCUACGGGAGGCAGCAGUGAGGAAUAUUGGACAAUGGGCGCAAGCUGAUCCAGCCAUGCCGCGUGCAGGAUGACGGUCCUAUGGAUUGUAAACUGCUUUUGCACAGGAAGAAACAACGCUACGUGUAGCGUCUUGACGGUACUGUGAGAAUAAGGAUCGGCUAACUCCGUGC
rnacentral:rRNA from 1 species